AUCUAAGUACCCCGAGGAAAAGAAAUCAACCGAGAUUCCCCCAGUAGCGGCGAGCGAACGGGGAACAGCCCAGAGCCUGAAUCAGCUUGUGUGUCAGUGGAACGGUCUGGAAAGGCCGGCGAUACAGGGUGACAGCCCCGUACACGAAGGCACACAGGCUGUGAGCUCGAUGAGUAGGGCGGGACACGUGAUAUCCUGUCUGAAGAUGGGGGGACCAUCCUCCAAGGCUAAAUACUCCUGACUGACCGAUAGUGAACCAGUACCGUGAGGGAAAGGCGAAAAGAACCCCGGCGAGGGGAGUGAAACAGAACCUGAAACCGUGUACGUACAAGCAGUGGGAGCCUUCGUAAGAGGGUGACUGCGUACCUUUUGUAUAAUGGGUCAGCGACUUAUAUUCUGUAGCAAGGUUAACCGUAUAGGGGAGCCGAAGGGAAACCGAGUCUUAACCGGGCGUUAAGUUGCAGGGUAUAGACCCGAAACCCGGUGAUCUAGCCAUGGGCAGGUUGAAGGUUGGGUAACACUAACUGGAGGACCGAACCGACUAAUGUUGAAAAAUUAGCGGAUGACCUGUGGCUGGGGGUGAAAGGCCAAUCAAACCGGGAGAUAGCUGGUUCUCCCCGAAAGCUAUUUAGGUAGCGCCUCGUGAACUCAUCUCCGGGGGUAGAGCACUGUUUCGGCUAGGGGGCCAUCCCGGCUUACCAACCCGAUGCAAACUGCGAAUACCGGAGAAUGUUAUCACGGGAGACACACGGCGGGUGCUAACGUCCGUCGUGAAGAGGGAAACAACCCAGACCGCCAGCUAAGGUCCCAAAGUCAUGGUUAAGUGGGAAACGAUGUGGGAAGGCCCAGACAGCCAGGAUGUUGGCUUAGAAGCAGCCAUCAUUUAAAGAAAGCGUAAUAGCUCACUGGUCGAGUCGGCCUGCGCGGAAGAUGUAACGGGGCUAAACCAUGCACCGAAGCUGCGGCAGCGACACUGUGUGUUGUUGGGUAGGGGAGCGUUCUGUAAGCCUGCGAAGGUGUGCUGUGAGGCAUGCUGGAGGUAUCAGAAGUGCGAAUGCUGACAUAAGUAACGAUAAAGCGGGUGAAAAGCCCGCUCGCCGGAAGACCAAGGGUUCCUGUCCAACGUUAAUCGGGGCAGGGUGAGUCGACCCCUAAGGCGAGGCCGAAAGGCGUAGUCGAUGGGAAACAGGUUAAUAUUCCUGUACUUGGUGUUACUGCGAAGGGGGGACGGAGAAGGCUAUGUCGGCCGGGCGACGGUUGUCCCGGUUUAAGCGUGUAGGCUGACUUUCCAGGCAAAUCCGGAAGGUUAAGGCUGAGGCGUGAUGACGAGGCACCACGGUGCUGAAGUGACAAAUGCCCUGCUUCCAGGAAAAGCCUCUAAGCAUCAGGUAACAUCAAAUCGUACCCCAAACCGACACAGGUGGUCAGGUAGAGAAUACCAAGGCGCUUGAGAGAACUCGGGUGAAGGAACUAGGCAAAAUGGUGCCGUAACUUCGGGAGAAGGCACGCUGACAUGUAGGUGAAGCCCCUGCGGGUGGAGCUGAAGUCAGUCGAAGAUACCAGCUGGCUGCAACUGUUUAUUAAAAACACAGCACUGUGCAAACACGAAAGUGGACGUAUACGGUGUGACGCCUGCCCGGUGCCGGAAGGUUAAUUGAUGGGGUUAUCGCAAGAGAAGCUCCUGAUCGAAGCCCCGGUAAACGGCGGCCGUAACUAUAACGGUCCUAAGGUAGCGAAAUUCCUUGUCGGGUAAGUUCCGACCUGCACGAAUGGCGUAAUGAUGGCCAGGCUGUCUCCACCCGAGACUCAGUGAAAUUGAACUCGCUGUGAAGAUGCAGUGUACCCGCGGCAAGACGGAAAGACCCCGUGAACCUUUACUACAGCUUGACACUGAACAUUGAGCCUUGAUGUGUAGGAUAGGUGGGAGGCUUUGAAGCGUGGACGCCAGUCUGCGUGGAGCCGACCUUGAAAUACCACCCUUUAAUGUUUGAUGUUCUAACCUGGCGCCGUGAUCCGGCGUGGGGACAGUGUCUGGUGGGUAGUUUGACUGGGGCGGUCUCCUCCCAAAGUGUAACGGAGGAGCACGAAGGUCAGCUAAUCCUGGUCGGACAUCAGGAGGUUAGUGCAAUGGCAUAAGCUGGCUUGACUGCGAGAGUGACGGCUCGAGCAGGUGCGAAAGCAGGUCAUAGUGAUCCGGUGGUUCUGUAUGGAAGGGCCAUCGCUCAACGGAUAAAAGGUACUCCGGGGAUAACAGGCUGAUACCGCCCAAGAGUUCAUAUCGACGGCGGUGUUUGGCACCUCGAUGUCGGCUCAUCACAUCCUGGGGCUGAAGUAGGUCCCAAGGGUAUGGCUGUUCGCCAUUUAAAGUGGUACGCGAGCUGGGUUUAGAACGUCGUGAGACAGUUCGGUCCCUAUCUGCCGUGGGCGCUGGAGAAUUGAGGGGGGCUGCUCCCAGUACGAGAGGACCGGAGUGGACGCAUCACUGGUGUUCGGGUUGUCAUGCCAAUGGCACUGCCCGGUAGCUAAAUGCGGAAGAGAUAAGUGCUGAAAGCAUCUAAGCACGAAACUUGCCCCG
rnacentral:rRNA from 1 species